rnacentral:lncRNA from 1 species
UAGAUAUAUAUUAUACGGGUUGUUACAAGGGAUGUGUGGGAGAGUAUCAACUUUUUCCUUCUAUUGGCACAGUUUUAACAUGUAGCCCAUAAUAAAUCGUAGCUCAAAAUUGAGUAUAAACUAGAUAAGAACCCGCAUGAUGUGCGGUUGUGAAUUAAUUAUUAUUUGAUUAAUAUUGAAUUUAAAUUGAUUUAUAUUUUUAAAAAAA